UACGUAGGGUGCGAGCGUUGUUCGGAUUCCUUGGGCGUAAAGGGUGUGUAGGUGGCGCCGUAAGUCGGGUGUGAAAUUUCGAGGCUUAACCUCGAAACUGCAUUCGAUACUGCGGUGCUUGAGGACUGGAGAGGAGACUGGAAUUCAUGGUGUAGCAGUGAAAUGCGUAGAGAUCAUGAGGAAGACCAGUGGCGAAGGCGGGUCUCUGGACAGUUCCUGACACUGAGACACGAAGGCCAGGGGAGCAAACGGG
rnacentral:rRNA from 1 species